UACGGGGGGGGCAAGCGUUGUUCGGAAUUACUGGGCGUAAAGGGCUCGUAGGCGGCCAACUAAGUCCGACGUGAAAUCCCCAGGCUUAACCUGGGAACUGCGUCGGAUACUGGAUGGCUUGAAUUCGGGAGAGGGAUGCAGAAUUCCAGGUGUAGCGGUGAAAUGCGUAGAUAUCUGGAGGAAUACCGGUGGCGAAGGCGGCCUUCUGGGCCAACACUGACGCUCAUGCACGAAAGCGUGGGGAGCAAACAGG
rnacentral:rRNA from 1 species